GACAGAGGUCCCGAGCGUUAGGCGGAAUCACUGGGCUUAAAGCGUGUGUAGGCGGAGUGCUAAGUACCUUGUGAAAUCCCACGGCUCAACCGUGGAACUGCUUGGUAUACUGGUUCUCUUGAGCCACCUAGGGGCAACCGGAACAAACGGUGGAGCGGUGAAAUGCGUAGAUAUCGUGUGGAACGCCAAUGGUGAAAACAGGUUGCUGGGGGUGUGCUGACGCUGAGACACGAAAGCCAGGGGAGCAAACGGG
rnacentral:rRNA from 1 species